rnacentral:rRNA from 1 species
AUUGAACGCUGGCGGCAGGCUUAACACAUGCAAGUCGAACGGUAGCAGGAGAAAGCUUGCUUUCUUGCUGACGAGUGGCGGACGGGUGAGUAAUGCUUGGGAAUCUGGCUUAUGGCGGGGGUUAACUACGGGAACCUGUAGCUAAUACCGCGUAAUAUCUUCGGAUUAAAGAAUGGGACUUUUAGCCAUUCGUCAUAAGAUGAGCCCAUGUGGGAUUAGGUAGUUGGUGGGGUAAAGGCCUACCAAGCCGACGAUCUCUAGCUGGUCUGAGAGGAUGACCGGCCACACUGGAACUGAGACACGGUCCAGACUCCUACGGGAGGCAGCAGUGGGGAAUAUUGCGCAAUGGGGGCAACCCUGACGCAGCCAUGCCGCGUGAAUGAAGAAGGCCUUCGGGUUGUAAAGUUCUUUCGGUGGUGAGGAAGGCUAAUAUGUUAAUAGCAUAUUAGAUUGACGUUAGCCACAGAAGAAGCACCGGCUAACUCCGUG